rnacentral:rRNA from 1 species
CACGUAGGGGGCAAGCGUUGUCCGGAUUUAUUGGGCGUAAAGAGCUCGUAGGCGGCUCAGUAAGUCAGGUGUGAAACCUCCAGGCUCAACCUGGAGACGCCACCUGAUACUGCUGUGGCUAGAGUCCGGUAGGGGAGACUGGAAUUCCUGGUGUAGCGGUGAAAUGCGCAGAUAUCAGGAGGAACACCGGUGGCGAAGGCGGGUCUCUGGGCAACAACUGACGCUGAGGAGCGAAAGCGUGGGGAGCGAACAGG